GACGAACGCUGGCGGCGUGCUUAACACAUGCAAGUCGAACGGAAAGGCCCUUCGGGGUACUCGAGUGGCGAACGGGUGAGUAACACGUGGGUGAUCUGCCCCGCACUCUGGGAUAAGCCUGGGAAACUGGGUCUAAUACCGGAUAGGACCACACACUUCAUGGUGAGUGGUGCAAAGCUUUUGCGGUGUGGGAUGAGCCCGCGGCCUAUCAGCUUGUUGGUGAGGUAAUGGCCCACCAAGGCGACGACGGGUAGCCGGCCUGAGAGGGUGACCGGCCACACUGGGACUGAGAUACGGCCCAGACUCCUACGGGAGGCAGCAGUGGGGAAUAUUGCACAAUGGGCGCAAGCCUGAUGCAGCGACGCCGCGUGAGGGAUGACGGCCUUCGGGUUGUAAACCUCUUUCAGUAGGGACGAAGCGAAAGUGACGGUACCUACAGAAGAAGGACCGGCCAACUACGUG
rnacentral:rRNA from 1 species